CCUUGAUCCUGCAGUGGAGGUUUAGAAUUGCUCUGUGACUCCGUAAAGAUUCAUAAAGUUAACAUCAACUUCCCUAAUGAAUCAGAUAUCUUGACAAUGAAGGAUUUGCUUUCAUGGGUUCGUACCAAUCUGAUCAAGGAAAGACCUGAAAUGUUCAUGAAAGGCGAUACUGUGAGGCCUGGAGUUCUCGUGCUGGUUAACGACUGCGACUGGGAGCUUAGCGGCCAGCUCGAUACAACAUUAGAAGAUAAAGAUGUUGUAGUCUUCAUUUCUACUCUGCACGGUGAAUGAAAUAUUGAUAUUAUUAUUAAGCCAGCAAUCAUUCAGAAUGAUUCAUUCUGCUCUUUUCCAACAACUUGUGAUGAACA